UGGGGAAUCUUGCACAAUGGGGGCAACCCUGAUGCAGCGACGCCGCGUGAGCGAUGAAGCCCUUCGGGGCGUAAAGCUCUUUCGACCGGAACGAUAAUGACGGUACCGGGAGAAGAAGCUGCGGCUAACUACGUGCCAGCAGCCGCGGUAAUACGUAGGCAGCAAGCGUUGUUCGGAGUUACUGGGCGUAAAGAGUGCGUAGGCGGUUUUCUAAGUUCGGCGUGAAAUCUCCCGGCUUAACUGGGAGGGUGCGCCGAAGACUGGGAAGCUGGAGUGUGGGAAAGGCAGGCGGAAUUCCAGGUGUAGCGGUGAAAUGCGUAGAUAUCAGGAGGAACACCGGCGGUGUAGACGGCUUGCUAGACCAUAACUGACGCUGAGGCACGAAAGCGUGGGUAGCAAACA
rnacentral:rRNA from 1 species